GUGGAUUAGUGGCGAACGGGUGAGUAACACGUGGGCAAUCUGCCCUUCACUCUGGGACAAGCCCUGGAAACGGGGUCUAAUACCGGAUAACACUCCUGCCUGCAUGGGCGGGGGUUAAAAGCUCCGGCGGUGAAGGAUGAGCCCGCGGCCUAUCAGCUUGUUGGUGGGGUAAUGGCCUACCAAGGCGACGACGGGUAGCCGGCCUGAGAGGGCGACCGGCCACACUGGGACUGAGACACGGCCCAGACUCCUACGGGAGGCAGCAGUGGGGAAUAUUGCACAAUGGGCGAAAGCCUGAUGCAGCGACGCCGCGUGAGGGAUGACGGCCUUCGGGUUGUAAACCUCUUUCAGCAGGGAAGAAGCGAAAGUGACGGUACCUGCAGAAGAAGCGCCGGCUAACUACGUGCCAGCAGCCGCGGUAAUACGUAGGGCGCAAGCGUUGUCCGGAAUUAUUGGGCGUAAAGAGCUCGUAGGCGGCUUGUCACGUCGGAUGUGAAAGCCCGGGGCUUAACCCCGGGUCUGCAUUCGAUACGGGCUAGCUAGAGUGUGGUAGGGGAGAUCGGAAUUCCUGGUGUAGCGGUGAAAUGCGCAGAUAUCAGGAGGAACACCGGUGGCGAAGGCGGAUCUCUGGGCCAUUACUGACGCUGAGGAGCGAAAGCGUGGGGAGCGAACAGGAUUAGAUACCCUGGUAGUCCACGCCGUAAACGUUGGGAACUAGGUGUUG
rnacentral:rRNA from 1 species